rnacentral:lncRNA from 1 species
UGUGCCAACUCUACAUAAAGUUUCCCAGCUUAAUUGAACAGCUUCACACAUCGGUGCCGAUAUUCCACGUAGUGCUUUACUAUUGGAGGUUGUCGGGUGUCUAACAAAGCCACACCUUACCUUUGGUCUCCAUCCAAUUACAUUCUGAUAUCUGUGAGCAGGGCAUACUGAAAUCCCGUGGUCAGUUUCAGGUCUCCAUUUCCA